GGAGCAGCUUCUGGAGAGACCGCUUAGGCGGCGCCGAAGGAUUCACAAUCUCAGGCAAAAGGACAGAAGAGUAACG
rnacentral:ncRNA from 2 species